GUGUACCAUUGUAGAAAUCAAUAGUCAAAUAUUCGUGAGUAAACGAACCUUUAAGGAGUAAAAAAAGUUGUGAGCAACCUAGUAAAUCUUUACGACUUUGGUUGCAAUGUACUAAACAUUUAUUAUGCUGUUGAUCUUCUAGAAUAUAUGAAUGGUCAAGACAAAAUGGCCAGCUGUUUCCCAGCGCUGGUUUGGAAAGGUGGAGUUGCUUUAUGUACACAAGAGAAGUAGAUAAGUAUACUGCUAAUCUGAAUUUUCUGGUAAGGAUUCGGCAUUUUCUUCCUAAAGUCAUCAUGAAUGCAUGUGCAAAAGAUAUAUUGCCCUGAGCCAUUAACAAACCAAUGGGAUUAGAAAAGGAAUCUAUACACAAUGCAUAUGCUUGAUCUUCGGAGCUUUUGAGAUUGCUUUCCAACUCAUCAACUGCAUCCUUCAAUCCCUGAGCAUCGAAUGAUCUAACCAACAUAGUUUUUUCAAGACAUGGAAGAGGGAGUGCAGCCGGAUUGAAAGUACCUAAAGUAUCAAUCCACAUAAUUCUAUCAAACCUAGAGUAAUAACUUUUUAGAAUCCAGUAAAGCAUCAAGUUUGCAGAAUUUCCACUAAAUUGAGUAACCUGAUUCAUAAUGUCAGAAAAUAUAUAAGCUGCUUUAAGAAUUUGCUUGGUAUGCUUUAAACUUUCGAUAGAAUUGUUUUUUCCAACGAUAUUGAUGAUCAAUGAAAUUGAUUUUUGCAAUCAUCCCCUGGUUAUGCUAAUGGCAUUCUAAAAGAGAUAAACACCCAAAUGCGUUGAAGGAAAAGAUACGUACAAUCGUCAAAAAUUUCCGGAAUGUUCAACAAGUAUUUAACUAAUCAUGAGUGUGUGUUGAAUCUUAUCUCAUGUUUUUUGUUGAACUAUCUACAUGGAUUAUAUUUAAUUAGGGUAUGGAUUAAAGAAGCAGAAAGGUCGUCAACAUUCGAGUACAGUAUAUAGCCACACUGGUGUGGAUUUGUAUAUAUUGAGAAUAACCCUUUAAGAAUAAAAAGAAAAAAUAGAA